rnacentral:rRNA from 1 species
AAUCCAUAGGUUAAUGAGGCGAACCGGGGGAACUGAAACAUCUAAGUACCCCGAGGAAAAGAAAUCAACCGAGAUUCCCCCAGUAGCGGCGAGCGAACGGGGAGGAGCCCAGAGCCUGAAUCAGCAUGUGUGUUAGUGGAAGCGUCUGGAAAGGCGCGCGAUACAGGGUGACAGCCCCGUACACAAAAGCGCAUGUGCUGUGAGCUCGAUGAGUAGGGCGGGACACGUGGUAUCCUGUCUGAAUAUGGGGGGACCAUCCUCCAAGGCUAAAUACUCCUGACUGACCGAUAGUGAACCAGUACCGUGAGGGAAAGGCGAAAAGAACCCCGGCGAGGGGAGUGAAAAAGAACCUGAAACCGUGUACGUACAAGCAGUGGGAGCACCCUUUGGGUGUGACUGCGUACCUUUUGUAUAAUGGGUCAGCGACUUAUAUUCUGUAGCAAGGUUAACCGAAUAGGGGAGCCGGAGGGAAACCGAGUCUUAACCGGGCGUUAAGUUGCAGGGUAUAGACCCGAAACCCGGUGAUCUAGCCAUGGGCAGGUUGAAGGUUGGGUAACACUAACUGGAGGACCGAACCGACUAAUGUUGAAAAAUUAGCGGAUGACCUGUGGCUGGGGGUGAAAGGCCAAUCAAACCGGGAGAUAGCUGGUUCUCCCCGAAAGCUAUUUAGGUAGCGCCUCGUGAAUUCAUCUCCGGGGGUAGAGCACUGUUUCGGCUAGGGGGCCAUCCCGGCUUACCAACCCGAUGCAAACUGCGAAUACCGGAGAAUGUUAUCACGGGAGACACACGGCGGGUGCUAACGUCCGUCGUGAAGAGGGAAACAACCCAGACCGCCAGCUAAGGUCCCAAAGUCAUGGUUAAGUGGGAAACGAUGUGGGAAGGCCCAGACAGCCAGGAUGUUGGCUUAGAAGCAGCCAUCAUUUAAAGAAAGCGUAAUAGCUCACUGGUCGAGUCGGCCUGCGCGGAAGAUGUAACGGGGCUAAACCAUGCACCGAAGCUGCGGCAGCGACACUGUGUGUUGUUGGGUAGGGGAGCGUUCUGUAAGCCUGUGAAGGUGUGUCGUGAGGCAUGCUGGAGGUAUCAGAAGUGCGAAUGCUGACAUAAGUAACGAUAAAGCGGGUGAAAAGCCCGCUCGCCGGAAGACCAAGGGUUCCUGUCCAACGUUAAUCGGGGCAGGGUGAGUCGACCCCUAAGGCGAGGCCGAAAGGCGUAGUCGAUGGGAAACGGGUUAAUAUUCCCGUACUUGGUGUUACUGCGAAGGGGGGACGGAGAAGGCUAUGUUGGCCGGGCGACGGUUGUCCCGGUUUAAGCGUGUAGGUGUGUGUUCCAGGUAAAUCCGGUUCACUUUAACACUGAGGCGUGACGACGAGGCACUACGGUGCUGAAGCAACAAAUGCCCUGCUUCCAGGAAAAGCCUCUAAGCAUCAGGUAACAUCAAAUCGUACCCCAAACCGACACAGGUG